rnacentral:misc_RNA from 1 species
AGAAAAAGAAAAAGAAAAAGAAAACUGAAAAUCUAAUCAAGAAGCUGUCGGAAAACACUUCUUGCCCGUGUACGAUCUUUAUAUCAACCACCUAUCUUCUCCUGCCUUCCUUUCAGCUUCCUCAUAACAUUAAUUCUGUGUCUUUUCUUCUUCUAUUAUGCUCAGAUUGGAGGAGACUAUACAUUGAUUCAUGUGCUUUGAUUUUGAUAAAUUCUUAACAGCUAUGUCGUCGAAUUCAG